rnacentral:lncRNA from 1 species
UGCACUCAAAUCAAUUGAAGUUAUGAGUAGCAGCAAAAUACUCGGACAAGUUCACAGCAGCAUGGGAAACAUAAUAUACACCAUUACAAUUGAAGAAGAGGCCGGUUUAGUUGGCAAAAAGAGAUAUACAUCAAGACGCCUGAGAAACUUAUCAGUGCGCCAGGCUUUGGCAAGCUCCACUGCAGCUCUCGUCAGCUGCCAUACGUUCCCUCGGGUCAAAAAAACAAUGAGCAGUUAAACAUACCCUAAACACUCCACUUGUACAUAAAGAGCUAAAUACACAGCAAUAAUGGAUUCGGAGACAGUAUCGGAAACUAUCGAACGAUCAUGUCCUCAGCAUUUUCUAUACCUGGCCUGCAACCAACACAACGGUGAUCGUCAGUCAUACGAAGGAUGUGGGAGCAUGCAAACCUUGCCUAGAAAAUGCACUCGCAAGUUUCAAAACUAUUAAAAGAGAUGCAGAUUGCAUUCAUCUGAAUUGAUUUAAACUACUAUGACUUAUUGCAAAACCUCAUAAUGUAAUUCACCAUCAAAUUAAUGAACCUAACCUUUAUUAAACAUCUAUAAGCUUACCUACUAGAAUGCAUUCCUGACAUGGUGAGCUUAUGACGCUUAAGAUAAAUGUGUUCUUAUACUGAGGUGGGAUUACACGAAUGAGUAAGGAAAUAGACGGAAAAAUUAUAGUACAUGUUUAGAACACUAAGAUCCUGAAAACUAGUCAAAACUUGAACAUGAAUAAUAGGCUACUUGAGUGGGCAGGACACAAAAAGCUGCAAGUUACCUACCAGAGUGUUCUUCAAGUUUGGUCUCCAGCCUCUCAAACAAAGUAAACGAAUCAGCAGUGCCACCUACAAACUACCCCUUUCCCAUUAGCUACGAGCACCCUCAUAAACCCUGGCCACAACGUGUUACGAAAAUGAGAUAUCCAAGUACUGCUUCAUGCACUCGUGGCGGAUAAGGUGGUGCAUUAUUGAUUAUGGCUCUGUCGUUCAACGUUAGCUUUCACGGUUACUAGAAUAAUGUCUGCGCAUCCUACUCAUCCGAAACGUCCUAAUCAACAACUGCUCUACUUAUUUAAAACAACCUUAACCAUGAACAAUAAGACAACACAUGUCAUUUUUCAAAAUUGACUGACCUGCAAAACCUCCGAUGACGUUAGCACCAAGUCUGCGAACCUUUCGG